rnacentral:rRNA from 1 species
AUUGAACGCUGGCGGCAUGCCUUACACAUGCAAGUCGAACGCGAAAGGGGGCAACCCCGAGUAGAGUGGCGAACGGGUGAGCAAUACAUCGGAACACGUCCUGUAGCGGGGGACAACCUCGAGAAAUCGAGGCUAAUACCGCAUACGAUCUACGGAUGAAAGUGGGGGACCGAAAGGCCCCACACUAUAGGAGUGGCCGAUGCCGGAUUAGCUAGUUGGCGGGGUAAUAGCCCACCAAGGCUACGAUCCGUAGCUGGUUUGAGAGAACGACCAGCCACACUGGGACUGAGACACGGCCCAGACUCCUACGGGAGGCAGCAGUGGGGAAUUUUGGACAAUGGGCGAAAGCCUGAUCCAGCCAUGCCGCGUGAGUGAAGAAGGCCUUCGGGUUGUAAAGCUCUUUCGGCGGGGACGAAGUGGCGCGGGGUAACAUCCCGCGUCGAUGACGGUACCCGAAGAAGAAGGACCGGCUAACUACGUGCCAGCAGCCGCAGUAACAC